GACGAACGCUGGCGGCGUGCUUAACACAUGCAAGUCGAACGGAAAGGCCCUGCUUUUGUGGGGUGCUCGAGUGGCGAACGGGUGAGUAACACGUGAGUAACCUGCCCUUGACUUUGGGAUAACUUCAGGAAACUGGGGCUAAUACCGGAUAGGAGCUCCAGCUGCAUGGUGGGGGUUGGAAAGUUUCGGCGGUUGGGGAUGGACUCGCGGCUUAUCAGCUUGUUGGUGGGGUAGUGGCUUACCAAGGCUUUGACGGGUAGCCGGCCUGAGAGGGUGACCGGCCACAUUGGGACUGAGAUACGGCCCAGACUCCUACGGGAGGCAGCAGUGGGGAAUAUUGCACAAUGGGCGGAAGCCUGAUGCAGCAACGCCGCGUGCGGGAUGACGGCCUUCGGGUUGUAAACCGCUUUCGCCUGUGACGAAGCGUGAGUGACGGUAAUGGGUAAAGAAGCACCGGCUAACUACGUGCCAGCAGCCGCGGUGAUACGUAGGGUGCGAGCGUUGUCCGGAUUUAUUGGGCGUAAAGGGCUCGUAGGUGGUUGAUCGCGUCGGAAGUGUAAUCUUGGGGCUUAACCCUGAGCGUGCUUUCGAUACGGGUUGACUUGAGGAAGGUAGGGGAGAAUGGAAUUCCUGGUGGAGCGGUGGAAUGCGCAGACAUCAGGAGGAACACCAGUGGCGAAGGCGGUUCUCUGGGCCUUUCCUGACGCUGAGGAGCGAAAGCGUGGGGAGCGAACAGGCUUAGAUACCCUGGUAGUCCACGCUGUAAACGGUGGGUACUAGGUGUGGGGUCCAUUCCACGGGUUCCGUGCCGUAGCUAACGCUUUAAGUACCCCGCCUGGGGAGUACGGCCGCAAGGCUAAAACUCAAAGGAAUUGACGGGGCCCCGCACAAGCGGCGGAGCAUGCGGAUUAAUUCGAUGCAACGCGUAGAGCCUUACCUGGGUUUGACAUGGAUCGGGAGCGCUCAGAGAUGGGUGUGCCUCUUUUGGGGUCGGUUCACAGGUGGUGCAUGGCUGUCGUCAGCUCGUGUCGUGAGAUGUUGGGUUAAGUCCCGCAACGAGCGCAACCCUUGUUCACUGUUGCCAGCACGUUAUGGUGGGGACUCAGUGGAGACCGCCGGGGUCAGCUCGGAGGAAGGUGGGGAUGACGUCAAGUCAUCAUGCCCCUUAUGUCCAGGGCUUCACGCAUGCUACAAUGGCUGGUACAGAGAGUGGCGAGCCUGUGAGGGUGAGCGAAUCUCGGAAAGCCGGUCUCAGUUCGGAUUGGGGUCUGCAACUCGACCUCAUGAAGUCGGAGUCGCUAGUAAUCGCAGAUCAGCAACGCCGCGGUGAAUACGUUCCCGGG
rnacentral:rRNA from 1 species